rnacentral:rRNA from 1 species
AUUGAACGCUGGCGGCAGGCCUAACACAUGCAAGUCGAACGAGUGGCGGACGGGUGAGUAAUGUCUGGGGAACUGCCCGAUGGAGGGGGAUAACUACUGGAAACGGUAGCUAAUACCGCAUACCAUCGGAUGUACCCAGAUGGGAUUAGCUGGUAGGUGAGGUAAUGGCUCACCUAGGCGACGAUCCCUAGCUGGUCUGAGAGGAUGACCAGCCACACGGGAACUGAGACACGGUCCAGACUCCUACGGGAGGCAGCAGUGGGGAAUAUUGCACAAUGGGCGCAAGCCUGAUGCAGCCAUGCCGCGUGUAUGAAGAAGGCCUUCGGGUUGUAAAGUACUUUCAGCGGGGAGGCGUUACCCACAGAAGAAGCACCGGCUAACUCCGUGCCAGCAGCCGCGGUAAUAC